rnacentral:rRNA from 1 species
ACACUCCUGCGGGAGGCAGCAGUGGGGAAUUUUGGACAAUGGGCGAAAGCCUGAUCCAGCAAUGCCGCGUGAGUGAAGAAGGCCUUCGGGUUGUAAAGCUCUUUUGUCAGGGAAGAAACGGUGAGAGCUAAUAUCUCUUGCUAAUGACGGUACCUGAAGAAUAAGCACCGGCUACCUACGUGCCAGCAGCCGCGGUAAUACGUAGGGUGCAAGCGUUAAUCGGAAUUACUGGGCGUAAAGCGUGCGCAGGCGGUUUUGUAAGUCUGAUGUGAAAUCCCCGGGCUCAACCUGGGAAUUGCAUUGGAGACUGCAAGGCUAGAAUCUGGCAGAGGGGGGUAGAAUUCCACGUGUAGCAGUGAAAUGCGUAGAUAUGUGGAGGAACACCGAUGGCGAAGGCAGCCCCCUGGGUCAAGAUUGACGCUCAUGCACGAAAGCGUGGGGAGCAAACAGGAUUAGAAACCCUGGUAGUCCCAUGA